CAUUACCCUGUCGUGGUACAAUUGAGAAAAAAACUGAGGAAAGGAGAGAGAGAAAGAGAUAAAGAGACGCGCGAGAUACAGAGCCCCCGCCCUUAUCUCUCCCAAACCGCCGCCACCACCACUUUGUCUCCCUCCUCCGGUCCACCUCGCCGCCGGCCCUCCCCCUCCCCUCCUCCUACCUCGCAGCUCCGGAGGCUGCCAGAUCCACAUCAUCCCUACCCACCCAUCCCUCUCACGACUCAUCUCUCUCUUCACGCGGCUCCUCGCUGCUCAACGUGCGGCGGCUGAUUCAAGCGACGUCCGGCAAAUCUCGCCACCGUGAAGCACAGCCUCAGGUCCCCUCACAUUGCGGCGCCCUCCCAUCGGUUAGAUCCGGCCCUCACGGCCACCAAAGCCUACCCGCGACCCUCCCCCAUAGCUAGGGUUCGGGCGUCGGCUCCGGCGCCGAUGGCCAUGUCGUCCUCCUCUCGUUCGACGUGCAACAAACUGGCUGUAUAUCCCUUCUCUCUACAGGGAAAACAAAUCCCAAGUGAAAACUAAUCCUAACCAUAGGUGCUGCCUACGACAUGGGUGACAUGAUGGAAGUAACCAAGUCCUCCAUUGUCCAGACAUGGACGUGACUCAGUUCCUGUCUUCAGGUUUGGCCCCGUUAGAUCAGGUAAGAUGCUCAUGUCCCCAUUGAAGAAAAAUAAACGUAUGUGUAAAAUCCUCGUAUCAAUUUGACCAUUAGAUUUUUUUAUUUUCUUUACUGAAAAAUACUGCUGCUUUGUGGAAUUUCUUCAUCUUAUAAUGUUCUCCCAUGUAAUUUGAACGGAUGAAGCAUAAAUAUACUAUUUCUGUUGUACAUCUUAACUUAGUAUACGAUGGCUUGCUGUGCACAUGCUACAGCCAUGAUAUGUAUAUGGUUCGGUGGUUCCUUAUGUAUUGCUACGUUGGCUUUGAAACUGAGCAGAAUUAUUUCUUUUGCUGUUUAAUGGUUAGUUAUUGAUUUAUAUUUUGAAGAUUCUGCUCCUGUUUCCCUUCCGAAAUAAAAGUUGAUCUUCAAGUUUUCUUAGUCACACAUGUGAUUAUUAUGUACGACUAUAGUAUCAGCAAGGUGUUUUUAAUUAUUACGAAGUGAUGAAUAUUUGAACCACUAUUUGGCGGUAACUUAGAAGCUUUCCCUUGCUUUCCGAAAAUAAUAUAGGUACUUCUGUUACAGCUUGGAGCUGAUGUAGUGUUAUCUCAGUAUAGUGUCCAAUAUAAAUUCUGUUAUGUAUUCAUAUCCACUUCUAGUCAAAAUAAUCACAGUUGUAUUAUCUUUUUGAUUGCCUUUUUGUCAACAUGGUAUCUCGAUGUAUCCUUUAAAAAUCAUGAAUAAUAUUUAAAUAUUAGAAGUUUGCCUUUUCAACUAAAAAGGAUAUUGUUAUUGUGGUUAACAUGAGUUCAGGACACAGUGCUUCUAUAGAUGUAUUUCUUCGGAUGCUAUUCCCCACUAAAAGUCAGGAACGACUUCUAUUCUGCCUAUUACAUGUAUAAAAUCUGGAAAUUCUAUACGGAAAGGGAAAGAACAAACUAGAUACAAGGAUAACCUUGAUGGACUAUUAUUUUUUAAUACUAUCAGCCUGUACUCAUGAAAAUACACUACAAGGAAAAAUAAUCACCUACAAGUUGUCCCUACAUAAGGUACUCUUUUGGCCAUUCCACUACAAAUUAGUUACUCUUUCAGCAAUUUCAAUACAAGUUAGUGUGUUUUGCCCAAUAUUAUGUACCUAGAACAGUACACACCCUAUCGAUUUGCAACCAUCCAUUUCCGGGUCUAGAGUUUGAACCAUCUCUUUUUGUUCAUUAUCCCAAAAAAUAUUUACUCAUCGUUGAACAAUAACAUAAUGCCUGCCAUAGUAAGAAUUUGAACAACAAUGUGCAUGUUCUUGAUGAUGAUCCCAUGAUAAGUUAGCAUCAUCUUUUUUGAAUUGGCAGGUAAGGUCCUACCGACGACAAUAUUUGACUUCGUUGUAUUUUUGUUCCUCUCACGGGACAUCAUACCAGAGUUGAAACCGAACUGAAGGGGGACGCCAUGGAGCAAGUCGAGUUCGUGGAGCAAGUCAUGGACGAUGCCAAGGAAGUUUGUGUCGUAUAUUGUGGCGUCUGGAUUAGUCAUCAAGGACAACUAACACUCUUGCUGGUAUCUUCUCAUAAUCACAUACGAAUUUGUGUUCAAAUUGUAGUGCUAUCUUGUUUAUUUGAUUCUUCUUAUUUUCUAUUAGACUGUUGUCCAGACCCAAAAAAAAUGUGCUGAUGAGCAGUAAGUGUGCGCAAAGCGGUUCUUACUUCUUAAUGCACUGUGUGUUAACGGUUCAUUUUCUUAUUUUCUUUGUAGGUUCAAAAGAUACAUGGAUGAUUAUAUGGGUGCAUGACAAGUACACUGCAAUGUGAUGAUGAUGAUGAUCUUCCAGUUCAUGAUGAUGAUGAUGGAUGCUUUCAGUUUUAGUUAAGUUGUAGGGAUGUUGUUCCUAUUCGAUGAUGUUCCUCGGUUAUGUUUUAGUUAAGUAUGAGGGAUGUUGAUGAAUGCUUUUAGUUUAAGUUUCUUUCUCGAGAAAAUAUUAAGAUAUGCAUCACAUUUGGAUGCUCUUCCUCCUGUAAUAUCCACUACUGUAAUCCAACAAUUUUAUCCAAUAUAUGAUUUCUUCCUCUUGUGAGUA